ACGCUCACUUCAGCAGCACAUAUACUAAAGUUGGAAAGAUACAGAGAAGAUUAACAUGGCCCCUGAGCAAGAAUGACAGACACAUUUGUGAAGUGUUCCAUAUUUUU
ensembl:snRNA U6 U6 spliceosomal RNA